AUUAUAAGUAAGCCUUGGAGGAAUCAUGCCAGAACAAACAUAGUGUGUCAUUUUGUCAGAUAAACAGCACUGUACAGUGCCUGUUGGAGCCACCACCAACAACAAAAACCUCUUGAGUUACAGGAGACAAAAUGAAGUAGAGUGUCAGUUAUAGGGGGUCACUGCUCACUGGCCCACCAUGAUGCCAAUUAGGUAAUAAAACCUUGACUUUUGAAAGCAUGUGUAAGUACAAUCUCUGUAGGAAGGACACACUAACCUUUUUCCUUGUUUUCCUUGGUGCUGGGGAUUGAGCCUAGGACCUCACACCAUGCUAGAAACAUCUUCCACCCUACUGAAGAGUAGCUUCAGACCAAGAUUGAUUUCUACUUUAGUUAUAUUUAAUUCAUCUUCAGCCUCAGCUCAUACCCUUAAAUUAUGUAAUUAAGGAGGCAAAGCCCAAAAAUAAAAACAAAAAUAGGAAAAAAAAUGUCUUGUUGCUGCAUUUAAAAUAGCAUUGCUUCCUGAAUCACUAGACAUCUAUCAGUUUCCAGUGACUGGUGAAAGUGAAAUUUCCACAUAUCAUUAAAAAUACCUAAGAAUAUCCAUUCACAAGAUUUUACAAUUGCUUUCUUGGUAGAGAGUAGGUGUCUUACAAGCUUCACAGGUCUUCCAUAAGUACUCAAGCAUUAAAGAGUGGAUGUUUCCGGGAGGUCCCAAAGACUGACUUCCCCAAAGAUGAUCACUAGAGACCUCGUGAAUGACAGCACCGAGCAUGGGUAGAGAGCAUGGAUUCUGCCAAAGGGAAACAGACUGUUGAGUCUCUGCAAAACCUUCCAACUUUACCCUUUUAGUUAAAUAGCUUAAGGGUAAUGUCUAGACAGAAAAGAUGGAUCAAGCAUGUCAUUAAAAAGUCAGUUUUGGGCUUUAUGAAGAAAAGCACUAGAAACUGUUUGAAGUUCUCUUCCCUACUACAAAAAUGAUGGGACCAGCAUCCUGUACUCUUCCCCCAUCUCUGACCUCACAGAACAGCAGCUGCCUGCUUAGAAUCAAAAGCGUGAGAUCCUGAAGGCCAGGGAAGAUUAAUGUUCUUUCCUUUGCAGCCCCUUUCCCUUCAGAAGUGGAGAGUAGUAAUCGCUCAGUUAUGACCAGGCUCCUUACUAUCUCUCUGUUGGAUUUGAACAACAUUGUUACAGUUUCAAGUUUAUGUUUGCCCGUCUUCUGUGAUAACACGGGUCAGAGGUUGGACUGCAGGCCUCUCAGUGGUAUGAAGAGCCAGUCCAAUGCCUAGGCUGAGCCAAAAAUAAUAUCAACCUCAAAAUGGAGCCUAGAUACAGGACAGAGCUCAUUUUCAUUGGUCACAAGCUUCCCCUUUGGUGGCCUGAACAGUCACAUAUCUUGAUUCUUGUUAUGGCUACAUCUACCUGCAAGGUGGCAAUAUUAACAUACUUAGAAUCAAUUUGAAAAAGACUGAAAUUUUUUAAAACAUCCAAAUGUUUUUUAUAUGAAUAAAAUAGCUUGAGAUUUAUGUCAAGUUUCUUCACAAAAGAGUCAUU
rnacentral:lncRNA from 1 species